rnacentral:rRNA from 1 species
AUUGAACGCUGGCGGCAGGCCUAACACAUGCAAGUCGAACGAGUGGCGGACGGGUGAGUAAUGUCUGGGAAACUGCCUGAUGGAGGGGGAUAACUACUGGAAACGGUAGCUAAUCCCGCAUACUAUCGGAUGUGCCCAGAUGGGAUUAGCUAGUAGGUGGGGUAAAGGCUCACCUAGGCGACGAUCCCUAGCUGGUCUGAGAGGAUGACCAGCCACACUGGAACUGAGACACGGUCCAGACUCCUACGGGAGGCAGCAGUGGGGAAUAUUGCACAAUGGGCGCAAGCCUGAUGCAGCCAUGCCGCGUGUAUGAAGAAGGCCUUAGGGUUGUAAAGUACUUUCAGCGGGGAGGCGUUACCCGCAGAAGAAGCACCGGCUAACUCCGUGCCAGCAGCCGCGGUAAUUC